rnacentral:rRNA from 1 species
UACGGAGGGUGCAAGCGUUAUCCGGAUUCACUGGGUUUAAAGGGUGCGUAGGCGGGCAGGUAAGUCAGUGGUGAAAUCUCCGAGCUUAACUCGGAAACUGCCGUUGAUACUAUUUGUCUUGAAUAUUGUGGAGGUAAGCGGAAUAUGUCAUGUAGCGGUGAAAUGCUUAGAUAUGACAUAGAACACCAAUUGCGAAGGCAGCUUACUACACAACGAUUGACGCUGAGGCACGAAAGCGUGGGGAUCAAAACAGG